CUCCUAUAACUGUAGAAUGGUUGUAGGUCACAGGUAUAACCAAUGAAAACACAACCUAAGAUACAAAUCAGGAGCUACUGAUGCAAAGAAUGGGGACCAGGAGGAAGAGUUUCUUCGAGACCUGGUGGUUGAAGAGCAGUGGAUCAUUCUUGGCUGUGGUGGGAGAGGUGCUGAACGUUGUUCACGCUGGCUAUGUCAUGAGUGGAAUCUAUGGCGUCAAGGCUAGGAUUUUCUUUAUAGGAAUAAUGAAAUGAAGGGUACCUGAUAGACAUAUGUGUCCAAGAGAAACCCUCCUGGGAUGCAGAAAUCUGAAGGUCUCUCUCCUCUCUUCUGCAGGUCUUUUAGAAGAUCUAAGAGACACUAAGGGUUAGAGAGGUGCCCUCUCCCCAAAAACUUCAGCCAAAGAGCACAGAGCAAUGUAAAUCCCUAUGCUCACUUUCUGGGAAUGAAGACCUUUAUACACAUUUUGCAGUUCUCUGCCUGGCUUCCCUCAUUCAGAGAACCUGACCUAUUCCUCCUCACUGCUAUGUCUCUGCCCAAACUUCUCUCUCUGCCAGGAUACUCUGCUUGUAGAAAUUAAACCCAUCCUUCAUAACCUGA
rnacentral:lncRNA from 10 species